UACGUAGGGGGCAAGCGUUGUCCGGAAUCAUUGGGCGUAAAGCGCGUGUAGGCGGUUCGAUAAGUCUGCUGUGAAAGUCCAGGGCUCAACCCUGGGAUGCCGGUGGAUACUAUCGGGCUAGAGUGCGGAAGAGGCGAGUGGAAUUCCUGGUGUAGCGGUGAAAUGCGCAGAUAUCAGGAGGAUCACCAAUUGCGAAGGCAGCUCGCUGGAACGUAACUGACGCUGAGACGCGAAAGCGUGGGGAGCAAACAGG
rnacentral:rRNA from 1 species